GGGAAGUCGUGGCCUAAUGGUCAGAGAGUCGGACUCCCAAUCGAAAGGUUGUGAGUUCGAGUCCCGGGCCGGCAGGAAUUGUGGGUGGGGGGAGUGCAUGUACAGGUCUCUCUCCACCUUCAAUACCACGACUUAGGUGCCCUUGAGCAAGGUAUCGAACCCCCAACUGCUCCCCGGGCGCCGCAGCAUAAAUGGCUGCCCACUGCUCCGGGUGUGUGCUCACAGUGUGUGUGUGUGUGUGUGUUACCUGCUCUGUGUGUGUGCACUUCGGAUGGGUUAAAUGCAGAGCACAAAUUCUGAGUAUGGGUCACCAUACUUGGCUGAAUGUCACUUCACUUUCUCACUUCACUUUCAUGUACUGCCCCCACGUAAACUACUGCAUCCAAUAUUGCCUGUCAAAUCCUCUCAGGGGAAACUACUAUUUGCGCUGUG